rnacentral:rRNA from 1 species
UACGUAGGGGCCAAGCGUUGUCCGGAUUUAUUGGGCGUAAAGAGCUCGUAGGCGGUUCGGCAAGUCGAAUGUGAAAUCUCCACGCUCAACGUGGAGGGGUCAUUCGAUACUGCCGUGACUCGAGUCCGGUAGGGGAGUGUGGAAUUCCCGGUGUAGCGGGUGUAGAUGCGUAGAUAUCGUAAGGAAGACCAGUGGCGAAG